rnacentral:lncRNA from 1 species
CAGGUGCAGAAAUGUACAUCAGCCCUGAAAAGAGAAAGAGAUGCAAGAGGAAUGUACAGGAAGUGGACCACUUUGAUAAAUCAGACUUCAUCACUGUCCGGUACGCAUCAGGACAAGACAGUCCCAGUAAAGUGUGUCUGUGUGUCUGUGUGUGCCCUGAACUCAGCUCUGUAACUCCUGGACCAGCCUGUCCUCUCCUGACUCAAGACGAGGGUCUGGUUGUUACUCCCAUGAUCCUCAUCCUGGAAUCUGCACCGUGUUUUCAGAAUACCUCCUGGAAAGACUCUGGAAUUCUACCUUCUGGGAAAGAGACCGGAGACACACUGGAUCCCAGACAGGCCAGAGAGACAAUGAGCAUCAACAAGGUCACGUCGUGUGAUCGGGGACGUACUGGACUGUGUCUGUGCCACGUUUAAUCUAGACUCCUAGCUCUACAGCUCAUGUCACACAGCUGGCAAGAGCUGCAGGACUGUACAACUGCAGAUGACCUGGAUUGGUGAAAGUAUAUUACUGCAAAAGGUAAAAAUACCAAAGAAAAAUGGAGUUAAACUCUUUGAAUCAGACCUUAUUUGGCAGUAUUUCUGCAGAUAGCUUUUUUAUAUUUUGGUUAAAUAUCACUGAGUGCACACAUGGUACUGAUGAAAUAUGCUUAACAGAUCUAACUAAAAUUUUGCACAAGAGCAGGUAGGCU